AAUAAAACAAGCAAAAAGAAAAGUAUACAAGGAAUGUAAGAUACCUUAAUUCCACUUCUUUUUUUUUCCAUUUCUUUUGUC
rnacentral:ribozyme from 1 species